rnacentral:rRNA from 1 species
CAUUCCGAACGGCGGAUCACUUGGCUCGUAGAUCGUUGAAGAACGACGUGACACUCGAGAAUUGAUGUGAAUUGCAGACACACUGAACUUGAAUACUUUGAACGCGUUACGAAAUAAAGCAAAUGCGCCGCUCAGGCUUCGGCGCUUGGACUUG